UACGAACCGUCCAAACGUUAUUCGGAAUCACUGGGCUUAAAGGGUACGUAGGCGGCGCUGUCAGUCGGGUGUGAAAUCCCAGGGCUCAACCCUGGAACUGCGCCCGAUACUGCAGUGCUUGAGGGAGACAGAGGUAAGCGGAACUGAUGGUGGAGCGGUGAAAUGCGUUGAUAUCAUCAGGAACACCGGUGGCGAAAGCGGCUUACUGGGUCUCUUCUGACGCUGAGGUACGAAAGCUAGGGUAGCGAAGGGGAUUAGAUACCCCCGUAGUCCUAGCUGUAAACGUUGAGCACUUGAUCGAGGAUCCCCCCAUAGGUUCUCGGUCGUAGCGAAAGUGUUAAGUGCUCCGCCUGGGGAGUAUGGUCGCAAGGCUGAA
rnacentral:rRNA from 1 species